CACACACACACACACACACACACACACACACGUAUAGCAUAUGUCUUUGACAAUGAGUGGUAACUUUGCCAUUCUUCCCCUUGUCUUCAGAUGUCUACUAAGAAGCAUAGAGCCAUGGGGUCUGAGGAGUAGGUGAGCCGCCUGAAGGCAUUUGCCUCUUCUGGCACUUUGCCCUCCAGUGCAGGGAACAGGCCAUCUCCAAAACAGGCCAAAUGGCACAACCUCUACCAGAAGAUUGAGAAAUGUCCCAUGAUGCUGCGUUGGCAGACCUCAAUCUUAAGGGUAGCGCAGACAUGUACCUGUGGCUCUCACCCCCAGCAGUCUGUGAGAAGUCCUGCAGCUAGCUCGGCCUCAACCUCAGCUACCUCAGCCUCCACCUCUGCUGCGCCUGCACGGAGCCCUGAGAGGCCUGCAUUGACGUUGCAUGUUUGAGAAAGUGCGGUUCGGUGGGACUUUGUCUGCUGCAGCCAGGCCGAAUGUCAAUGUGACUAGGAUGCCUGCUGAGCGUCCCUCCAGCCCUGCCACUGCCCUGGCUGGGAGAAGCACUCCAUCAGCUACCCCACCUCGAGUGACGCCGUCUUCCAGUCUGCGAUUCUACAGGCCUGUCUCCCCUUUCUCUCUGCCUCCAUCCAGCCCUGUCUUGUUGGCGGUCCCUGUGAGGACCAGCUCUUCCCCUCUGGUUGCAUCAUAUAGGAGUCCUGCUCCUACUGGUCCCCUCCCUGCUCCUCCUGGUCUCCUCCCUGCUCCUCCCCUACUGCUCCAGCUCCGGCUCCAGAUCAGUUCUGGCUGCCGGUGGAAAUGAAGAAGACCAUUCCCCAGCAGGACCAGCGCUGGAUUGCGUCCACGCUGUGGAGGAACCAGCGGCUGCAGCCAGACGUCAAGCUCUGGUAUGAGCCACCGGUUCCAGCCCUCAUUUAUAAUCAUGUCCCGUCACCAGAUCGCUGUUUUAUGCACCGUCUCCUGGUGUGGAUGCCCUACCGCCUGUGGAAGGUGAGGCUGUCCUGCCCCAAGUGCAAGAGGCAGUUCACCGGGGCCAGCAUCCAAAAGAGGGCACGGAAGGUCCUGGACGUGGACAGGUACUACCUGAUGGUGAAGGAGACCCUCAGGUGCAACUCCUCCAGUUGCAUUACAAACUACCUGUCCACGAUCCAGACCGUCCUGGACCAGCUGAGCUUGGCUCUCAGCGGGGAGUUCCGCAUCAUCCUGACCUGCAAGUGAGUUCAGAUCAUGAAAGCAAAUAUCUUUUUUUAUGUAUCUAAAUUCAUCCGGCCAGUAAUCUAGCAAAUAGCAAUAUUUUAUCACACUAAACACCAUAGAAUAUCAAUAUUAAAUAAAAAAUAUUUAUAACAUUUUGCCAAUAGAAAGCUCUUUGUCCAACAAAACUAAAUAAUUUGAUACACUUAUACCUGUACACAAUGGUAUGCGUGUGACAUCCGUGUCAUCCGGAUGCUAUGGGAGAGGACCCUCGGCAAUAGCUCAACACGCCUGGCCGAAGAGCUGCGGGAGAACCACAGCGAGGAGUGGCUGCAGAGUUCGACCCACUACAUCGAGCUGUGCAAUGACUUUGCGAGCAGGCCCAGUUUCUUCCCUGUGGUCUGUCAGAGGCCCCCCGAGCCUAUGGCUGUCCCGACCAACAGGUGUCUCCUAACGGUUUACGGGAAGGACUUGAUGAGCCGUAUGGGCCACAUCAAGGCCAACAUCACCUCCACCUUUGGCUCCAUUUUAAAAAUGGAUUCCACAAAGAAGAUCACCAACAAUGCAGAGCAGGAGGGAGUGGCAGAGUCUGAAAUGACAGGAGUUAGUGUGGCAAAACAGGAAACAAACAACUGAAAAACUAAAGCCUUGCUGAAGUUGUGACAUCAACAAUGCAUGAAAUGGGUUUUCUUAUAACAACAUAUCCCAGCUUAUGAGCAAUUUAAGUUAUAGUCACAAAUGUGUCAAUGAUUAUUUGAUGUGCAUUUUUGCGUGUUGUGGCAACCCGGCCCCAAACCCUCCGGCCAGGCGACCCAAGGGAGAGGUGGUGGAGGGCAUAUACAGCCGAUAUCCACCAGCCGGAGCCAAAGAGCAUCCAUUGCGUAACGCCAAUUAGCAGAAUGGAGAACACCUGCGACGGAGGGUGAGGCACCCUUUAAAAAGCUGUUUGUUUUCCCAGAGAGGUGAACCGGGAGACAGAGCGGCCGAUAGUAACCCCAGGACCUGAUACGGCCAAGCAGACUGCUGGAUCUAACGGAUUUCCCCGGAGGCGCACACCAGGACGACGUGCGCCGACAAGGCACGCCCCAGACAAUUCCCUGGACGCCAGCGUGGCUCACGGAGUCACUUGUAUGACUUUUGUUUUUCUGCGUUGGGUAUCGACCCCGCAGUUUACUUUUCUUAUUAAUGAAUAAACGCCCCACUGGGCUUUGAACGCAUCUUAGAGUGUGGUAUUUCUGACGUGAGAGACAUUCCUGGGGCCGGGUCGCCACAGUGUGUAAAUGCCUUUUUUAUAUGUUGCUGUUUAUAUUUGAUAUGUUUUUUAUAUGUCUAUUCCUAGAUGUACUUUCGUGUAUAUAUUUGUCUUGUUUUGUUCUUAUUCUAAUUUCUAUUAUUGUUUUGAAAGCCCUCCGAAUUUGU